UCUAGCCUGCCAGGUUCCUCUGUCCAUGGGAUUCUCCAGGCAAGAAUACUCGAGGGGGUUGCCGUUUUCUUCUCCAGGGGAGCUUCCCGAACCAGGAAUUGAACCCAGGUCUCCAAACCAGAGCCUUAUUAUAUAGGUUGUAUCAUGUGAGCGUCAAAGCAGCCCUACAAGUCUGAAACCAAAAUGUAAGCUCCAUAAUGUCAAGGCUUUGUCUUCUUUGUUCCCUGGUAUAACUCUAGCGCUCAGAAGUGUGCCUGGACCUUAGUCAGGUGUUCAUGUAGUAUUUUUUUGGAAUGAACUAACGAAUAAAUGUAUUUCUC